UGGUCUUUUAUAACAGCUUGAUCCUGUUGUUCUUCUCCAGGGUAACGUGUUGCUGGACUGGUCUUUUAUAACAGCUUGAUCCUGUUGUUCUUCUCCAGGGUAACGUGUUGCUGGACUGGUCUUUUAUAACAGCUUGAUCCUGUUGUUCUUCUCCAGGGUAACGUGUUGCUGGACUGGUCUUUUAUAACAGCUUGAUCCUGUUGUUCUUCUCCAGGGUAACGUGUUGCUGGACUGGUCUUUUAUAACAGCUUGAUCCUGUUGUUCUUCUCCAGGGUAACGUGUUGCUGGACUGGUCUUUUAUAACAGCUUGAUCCUGUUGUUCUUCUCCAGGGUAACGUGUUGCUGGACUGGUCUUUUAUAACAGCUUGAUCCUGUUGUUCUUCUCCAGGGUAACGUGUUGCUGGACUGGUCUUUUAUAACAGCUUGAUCCUGUUGUUCUUCUCCAGGGUAACGUGUUGCUGGACUGGUCUUUUAUAACAGCUUGAUCCUGUUGUUCUUCUCCAGGGUAACGUGUUGCUGGACUGGUCUUUUAUAACAGCUUGAUCCUGUUGUUCUUCUCCAGGGUAACGUGUUGCUGGACUGGUCUUUUAUAACAGCUUGAUCCUGUUGUUCUUCUCCAGGGUAACGUGUUGCUGGACUGGUCUUUUAUAACAGCUUGAUCCUGUUGUUCUUCUCCAGGGUAACGUGUUGCUGGAGUGGUCUUUUAUAACAGCUUGAUCCUGUUGUUCUUCUCCAGGGUAACGUGUUGCUGGACUGGUCUUUUAUAACAGCUUGAUCCUGUUGUUCUUCUCCAGGGUAACGUGUUGCUGGACUGGUCUUUUAUAACAGCUUGAUCCUGUUGUUCUU